CUGCGGGGGGCACCAGUGAGGAAUAUUGCACAAUGGGGGGAACCCUGAUGCAGCAACGCCGCGUGGAGGAUGACGCAUUUCGGUGUGUAAACUCCUUUUAUAUGUCAAGAAAAUGACGGUAGCAUAUGAAUAAGCACCGGCUAACUCCGUGCCAGCAGCCGCGGUAAUACGGAGGGUGCAAGCGUUACUCGGAAUCACUGGGCGUAAAGGACGCGUAGGCGGGUUGGAAAGUCAGGUGUGAAAUCCUACAGCUUAACUGUAGAACUGCACUUGAAACUUCUAAUCUAGAGUAUGGGAGGGGGAGAUGGAAUUAGUGGUGUAGGGGUAAAAUCCGUAGAUAUCACUAGGAAUACCUAAAGCGAAGGCGAUCUCCUGGAACAUUACUGACGCUAAGGCGUGAAAGCGUGGGGAGCAAACAGGAUUAGAUACCCUGUAGUC
rnacentral:rRNA from 1 species